ACAUGUUCUUUGUGACUUGUCCAUAGC
rnacentral:piRNA from 1 species